CCAAAUAACAUCCUGUUAGAAGUGAUUUUAUACUAUUUGAUUAGAAACGUCAACUCGAAAUUAUUUCUUCCAGGACCUAAAAACCCUAAAAAGCCUGAACCCUAAACCUUAAAAGCCAAAAAAACCUAAGGUGGGAAAAACGACAAAAUCGCGUCCCCCGGAACGCGCUACGUGGCGCCAGGAAAUCGCGUCCACGUCAACGCGAGUUACUGACGUGGCAGUAAAUCGC
rnacentral:lncRNA from 1 species